UGCAACAACAAAUGGUGUUAAAUGAAGCUAAUGACCUAAUCAACAUAAGCUCUAAAACAUCUUAGAAGUUGCUUCUCUGUUAAAGCCAAGCUAUUGGGGGUUAGUCCGGGAUGCAUCUUGAUUGGAUGAUGUCAAUGAAAGCGCCAUGGGUCUGUGGUCUUCUGGCUGCAUUAAAAGAUGUUUGAGUCCCAGGUUUCCACGCAGCGCCAUGCAGACUUCCACACACGAACAGCAUCAAACGUCAGCUACAACAGUCGCGGGUAGAGCAGGAUCUGACAUCAACAGCAGUGACAACUUGUGAAGAGCUACAGACUAAAGAUUUUAAUCCCAUCAGUGGGAUGUCCGCUUUUUAUUCCAGAUGGAGCUCUGAGCCGCAGAAAGAUUUCACACGAAGCUGAUGCCGAAAAACACCAGGGAUGGGUUUGUAAUCAUUUUACUGCUACAAUUAUUGAGUCAAAUUCUAUUUUUCCCUCUUUUAGUUUUAAUAAUUACUAAUGAUCACACAUUAUCAUUUAUAACGGCGGUUAGUUCAAAGACAACUCCAAAUAAAGGCUGUUUAUUAAACAAGGUGCACUAAAAAUAUCUAAAACAGUUUAAAAUUUACAAGAACAU